UUUUUUAUAAGUGCUGGCAUAUUAAUAAAGCUGCUGAGGGUGAACUGGCAGGAUUGAAUUUCAGAAGCAGGUUUAAGGUUCUAUGAAUAUCAAACCCUGGAAAGCUGUCCUCUAGGAGCCUGCAGCUUUGGUUCUGAAGUCAUCAAUUAUCAUCCUGUGAGGAACACAUGAACGGUACAAAUGGCGCACAUUUGGAGAACUCUCUCUUUUUUUGUCUUUUUAUUACCAGCAGUUCAUGUCCAAGCCGUGGAUUCUUGUUUUGUCCUCAACCGUCUCCUGUUUUGGGUUUAUGGACUGUCUGGUGUCUUCCUGAUGCAUGAGGACUGUCUGAGGAUUUGUUGUCAUCCUGUGAAGAAAGGAGCGCUCCUGAUCCCAUUCACAUGUCAUCAUCUCAUCAGGAAAUACCGGUAGGACUGGCCUUUACAUUCUCAUACAGCGAGCCGAUCUCGGGAC